GUUUCCAAUAGGAGUGAUCCAAUUUUUUGGCAUUGGAUAAAUAUGGACUCAAAAAUCAUCUCCUGUAAACAGGAGGAUUUUCGACUGCCAUUUUUAAUUUUACAACAAGUUAUGUUAAAAUAAGCAAUCAAACACUUCAUAAUCAACUCUAAUGCAGGUAAAGGAUCUUCUCUUCAGUGCCGGUAUAUUGAAAAUUCCGUUUUGGGAGUGACAAAAUGCGGAUGAAGUAUCCAUUCUUGAUUUGGCCAAUGGCAUAUAGAUCAAAUUUAUCCCAUUUGUCAUUAUUUUGACAGCAUGUAUACCAAAUAGGAGAAUUAAUAGAUUAGUAUCAUUAUUACUGACAACUUUGAACGCAAUCCUGAAUUGGGCCAUGUUAAACCAGUGAUGGCACUAUUUCUUAAGCUAACUGGAAAGUAGUUGAACGAACUCUGCUCAAGAUUUACAUGAGGGUCAUCGGUUAUCGUUUACUUUGAUCAAACCUCUGUGUAUCUCUACAACAAUGCCUAUAGACGAAAGGGAGGUGGCAUAUAACUGUUUUAGUGGAUCAAAUUCAACAAUAUUCGGCUAUCAUCAUUAGUCAUAGUAUAGGCGAACAACACUGUCUUGCGAGAUGGUGAUGAUAAAGCCCUUAAGAGCAACUUACGUGAAGCACUUGUCGUUCUGAACAAACAAUUACUCGCCUCCACUGAUUCGAAUUAUCCCAAGAUGUCAUCGCAUAAUUCAGAUUUGUACGAAUCGCUGGAAAAUGAAACUUAUAAUAACAAUGUAUCAGUGGAAGCACAAGUGGCAAUCAAAUCAAAGCAACAAGAUGAUGAGUAAGAUAUUCUAACAAGUAGGCAAAAAAAGCUUAAAGGAUAACAAGGGUGCUUAUAUCAAAAAGCACAACAACAAACAUAUUUAGCCAACUAAACGCACUCAUGGGGAGUUUUAAGGGGUCUUGUGAUAUAUAAGAAUGGACGACCUUACACUGAUUUUUGAACCCGCUCAGUUUACAACGAAAAUAAAAUUGAAUGGAAGGCAUGAAAUCAGCUUUAUAGAGCUUUAUGGUUGGUCGGUUUCUGAAUGAAUUGUGUGAAAGCUUUUCUAACGGUUUAAUUGUUCAAUAGCUUUUCGAAAUGAAGCCUCAAAAAUUCCUCGCAGCUUUGCCCAAUAAUGUAUGUACUAAGAAUUUUCAGUUGUUUUUAGUUGGUGUUUGAGUUGAAAACUCAGCCCGCAAGGAUAUUUCUAGUGUUUUUUUUUCGUACAUUUUUAAUAGUUAAAACAAAUUUGCAAAAACUAUAAUUUGUUAUGCUUAUUACGAUUGCUUAUAAAUGAAACUUAUUAAUAAUUUAUUAAUAAUUUGUAAAGAAUAAAUGAAAAUGAAAUUGAUGUGAAAAUCUUCCAUUGAAGUCUUUGACGAAAGUGAUUGCAAGUGGAGCAAAGACUUCAGAGUGACACAUUCAUUUAAUUUUUAAGUAUUUUGUUUCUCUUAAAAUAAUUUAUUAUAAAUAAAUUGCAAGUAAAAAAAUACUAUUUUGUUUAAAAUAAAAAGCCUCACAUAAAGGUCAAAUUAUCGACUUUAAAUACUUGAGCGUUUUUUGCGUGUGCAAAUGCAUAAAUAACACUAAUAAAAAUAAAAGCUCGACAACGGCGAUGCUAUUUUAAGUUCG